GUGACAUCCAGCAAGGACGUCAUCCCAGUGAGAGGAAGGGAGAAACAAAGCACUAUCCUCACCAUCUCUUCACCAUGUUUGUUUGCUUGUAUAAAGCCACAUUGCCUCACAGAGUGGGUUUGAAAAUAACACAGGAAUUCAGCGCAUGAAAACGUGUUACAGAGACCACUGCAGACAACCAUAAUCAAUCAAAUGCAGAGCUGCGGAGCACAGUCUCCAUGGACGGAUUUUUAUUGACCUGAAGUUUGUCAACCAGCCUUGUCUGACUAGCAAGCUCCACAACAGUCCAUGUGUUGUGACAUCAGCCAUCAUAUCUGCUCCUCAAUGAGGGCGCAACUGACCGUACUCAGGUGCUUGUGUCUGACAGCGCACACUUCACCAGCGGAGCCAACGUCCCACCUGUGACCUCGUUUCCAUGAAUAACUCGCUGCUGUCAUUCGAUACAUCCCCUCUCCCUCUCUUGUAAUUUCCUUCUCUAUUCUCUCUUGUCUCUAUCUCUUUUAUUAGCAAUAUUCAUCCAGCCUUAUUUUUGUUUAAAGUGUUAUGUGGUUUGUGUUACGCUGUAGACAUUCUCUAGUGAUGAGUUGGCCUAUGUUCCCAUUUCAUGUGGAGGUGAGAGGCAGGGAGCAGUGAGACCCAGACCCUGGAGAAAAUCCCUGAGCUGUAUGUAGAGGCCAGUGCAGCAAGCCACUGUUUCACCGUGGAUGAGGAUGGAAUUUCUGCCACUUCUUCACGAUGUGUUUUUCAUUGUGUAUUCUGCCCAUGCACCUGAGCCUGGCUUCCUCUGUGGUGAUCCUACCAAGCUGAGUAUAUGGUAGUCCAAUCUGGAAAUGUUGUUAGACCAUGAUGUCAAUGAUUAAUCUUAUCUGUGAAGAGGAAUCUAUAUCUUAUAAGUACACAAGUGCUAAACUAUGAAAGGCAAAUCAUUAUUUUAAUGCUACAAUGGAUCUUUAGCCUCCAGAUGUUACUAAUCCCAAGUUUUUUAAUCUGCAUUUGGCAGUACUUAGCAUGGUAUUAUAUGGGCCAAUCUUUUUUUUUUUUUUUUUUUUUUUUUUUUUGCUUAAUUCACCUGUAAUUCAAGGAUUUGUAGAUUGAAAAGAGAAUAGGACCCCUGAAUGAGGGUCUAGUGUUAUGUAAAUAAAUGCUGGGCUAGAACCCAGCAUCUAGGCACCAGUUACGAAGAACUACAUGUGACAACCUAAUAACACACACUUCUACAACAAGCAGAAUGCUUGAAUUUUAAAAAAAUGGAGACAGUAGCAUGUGUACCAUGAGGCAAGAUUUUGAGUUAUAGACUAUUUGUGGCACUUGAGAGGUGCAGCCCUUGGAGAGACUGGGAAGAAGGUUACGCCUUCUAAAAGGAAGGGUCUGUCCAUAGGCUGGCCACCUAAUGACUGUCACACAUUGGUACAUCCUGGCCUGCUUGGCAUCGCCCAAGUGAUGCCCGGCUCUACCUUGUGACCCUGUGGGGUUUCCGCUGUGAGGUAUUCACCAAAGAUGGCUCCUUUGUUGCUGGGCUUCCAGAGUUCUAGAGGAAUGAGAUUCUCUCCUUUAUCGAUUACUCAGCCUCACGUAUUCAGUUAUAAUAAAAAUGAGCAGACUAAGACAAGUGGAUAUUGUGGUCACUUAGCAAGGAAGCACAGAAAACACGUCUUGUACACCCUGACACCGGGAAGAAAAGUGUGGGCAGAGUUCACACCCCGGGGGUCUGCCUCUGGAGACUUGUCCUCAGUGCUGAUGCCAGGCCUUCUUAGGAGGCUCCGGGUCAGGACAGUGCUCAGUGAAGCAAGUAAAAAGACAGCCGUGUAACUUGAACCAUUGUAGCACAUGCAAAGACACAAAUCACCUGCAGGUUUCCUACAGAGAGGGAGGCUUCAGUGGCUGAUGCCUCCUGGAACAUUUCUGGCCCUGGUCUGUGGAUAAAGAAAUAAUCGAGCGGGCCCAGUGAACUUCUCUGGCUCAAUCUGCUGUUUCAGAUGCUUCUUCUAUUUUUGGCACAACUCUUCUGAGCAUUUUUCUAAGGCUGAUAUAAACUGGUGGGUCGAUGUGACUCAGAACUUUUAUCUUUUUCUUCUUGGCCAUUUUGGUGUUUUUGAUGUAUUCAACAGCUAAAGUAGAAGCCACUUCUACCUGAGCAUUUGUUUCAUUGGCUUUGCCUUGUUUGAUGCUGCCCAUAUAACUUGUUUAUUGGUCCACACGGUGGACUAGCCCUGGACGGAUUCAUCUGGGGUGAGAUUGCGAAGGAGAGUAGAUGGAGACAGGACAGCAAAGUCACUGGAGAGGACGUGGUUGGUUCUUUCCACCACUCAGUCUGUUCUCGAAUGACAAUGGCUUCUAAACCCCAGACUCUGUGGUCUCACCAUUGAUCACCAUUGAUCACGAAGAACAGAAAGAAGAAGAGUUAAAGACAGAAAUGGAAUACACAGGAAAAGAUGUGUCCAUGAUUUCAAAAGUAGACACAAAAGAUUAGUGAAUGGAAAUUUCCCCACGACCCAUUCUAUAUAGACAUGAGGAUGGUUGUACAUUUUACAAAACUUUAUCAUGGGGUUGAAGGGUAAAGUGUUUGCCGCACAUGUCCGAGGAGCUAUGAUCAGAUCCUCGCACCCACUGGACUUGGUAGUCCACAUCCUCCAUCCUAGCAUGGGUGGAGGGAGGCAGGCAGAUUGCUUUGAGUGCACUGGAAAGCCAGACUAGCCAAUUGGUGGGUUCUGGGCUUAGUGAGACCUUGACUCAAAAGACAAUGUGAAGGGUCAUAGUGGAAGACACCCAACAUUGGCCUUGGACUUCCACAUGCAUGUGAAGACAUGUGUACUCCUUACCUUUGCACCUAAGUGUACAUGCAUACAUACAUGACAUGUACAUACACACACACACACACACACACACACACACACAAGAAAAUCCAGCUCAGACGAAGGGAAAGCAGUGGACAGACACCAUCUUGCCUUGAUAGCCUUGGCUUCUAUGACAACCUUCUUUCAGCAUGGGUCCCAGUGACCACAACUCUUGUUAUUUAUGAUGGUGUAAUAGUGUUGGUGUGUCUGGUUGAUAGGGCAGAGACUAUGGCUUGUUACUCUGCUGGGGUAAGAGAGACAUCGCAGCCUCUUAUGUCCUGUGGUCUCUCCCUCUGAUCACUCCCUAAAGCAGUAUAUUGGGGAGAGGUGCCCCACGAUCAGCUUUAUUAUCAUGGAAGCAUGUCCUCCAGGAUUGCAUUAUGACCCCAGCCCCGGCUUCUGUUGUGACUGCAAUGUCUGUGUAAGACCCCAGUCCAGAGCCACCCAGGUAAACACUCCUGAAAUUCAGACCUAAGGUAGAUGACUAUGAUUUGAAGCUACUGCAUUUGAGAUAAUUUAGCAUGCAGCAAAAUAUAAUGAAUAGGGAAUGGAGAAAUGGCUCAAUGGUUCUUGCUGUGUAAACCUGAGAACCUAAGUUCAACACCCAGCACCCACACCAAAAGCUUGUUAUGGCAGUGUAUCUCUGUUUGCCUAGAAGAGGGGACAUGGGAUUAGGAGAAUCUCUGGAGCUUGGGGACAGCUAGUUUUGCCAAAUUGGUGAGAUUUGGGUUCAGGAAGAGACCCUGUUUCAAAAAAUAAGGUGGAGAAUGACAAAACAAGACACCUAAGGUUGAUCUCUGGCUUCCAUGUGCCUAGGUACACAUGUGUACAGGAACCUGCAUAAACACAUGCACACACAGACAUGUACAUAUUCAUACAUAAACACAAGCAUAUGCAGCAUGUACACAUGCAUACACUAAUCAACAAUAACCCCACCA